rnacentral:rRNA from 1 species
UAAGGAAUAUUGGACAAUGGUCGCAAGACUGAUCCAGCCAUGCCGCGUGCAGGAAGACGGCCCUAUGGGUUGUAAACUGAUUUUGUACCAGAGAAAACCUAUCUACGUGUAGAUAGCUGAUAGUAUGGUAAGAAUAAGCAUCGGCUAACUUCGUGCCAGCAGCCGCGGUAAGACGAAGGAUGCAAGCGUUAUCCGGAUUCAUUGGGUUUAAAGGGUGCGUAGGCGGGCUUGUAAGUCAGUGGUGAAAUCUCUCAGCUUAACUGAGAAACUGCCAUUGAUACUGCAGGCCUAGAGUAUAGAUGACGUUGGCGGAAUAUGACAUGUAGUGGUGAAAUACUUAGAUAUGUCAUAGAACACCGAUUGCGAAGGCAGCUAACGAAACUAUAACUGACGCUGAGGCACGAAAGUGCGGGGAUCAAACA